rnacentral:tRNA from 1 species
GACCCUGUGGUCUAGUGGUUAAGAUUUCGCUCUUAUAAUGCGAAGAUCGUGAGUUCAAGCCUCACCUGGGUCA